rnacentral:rRNA from 1 species
UGCAAGUCGAACGAUGAAGCCCUUCGGGGUGGAUUAGUGGCGAACGGGUGAGUAACACGUGGGCAAUCUGCCCUGCACUCUGGGACAAGCCCUGGAAACGGGGUCUAAUACCGGAUACGACACGCUCAGGCAUCUGAUGCGUGUGGAAAGCUCCGGCGGUGCAGGAUGAGCCCGCGGCCUAUCAGCUUGUUGGUGAGGUAACGGCUCACCAAGGCGACGACGGGUAGCCGGCCUGAGAGGGCGACCGGCCACACUGGGACUGAGACACGGCCCAGACUCCUACGGGAGGCAGCAGUGGGGAAUAUUGCACAAUGGGCGCAAGCCUGAUGCAGCGACGCCGCGUGAGGGAUGACGGCCUUCGGGUUGUAAACCUCUUUCAGCAGGGAAGAAGCGCAAGUGACGGUACCUGCAGAAGAAGCGCCGGCUAACUACGUGCCAGCAGCCGCGGUAAUACGUAGGGCGCAAGCGUUGUCCGGAAUUAUUGGGCGUAAAGAGCUCGUAGGCGGCUUGUCACGUCGGGUGUGAAAGCCCGGGGCUUAACCCCGGGUCUGCAUUCGAUACGGGCUAGCUAGAGUUCGGUAGGGGAGAUCGGAAUUCCUGGUGUAGCGGUGAAAUGCGCAGAUAUCA